UAGGGAAUAUUAGAAAUGGACGAAAGUCUGAUCUAGCAACACCGCGUGUGCGAAGAAGGCCUUCGGGUCGUAAAGCACUUUUUGGAAGGAAUAGGAAGGAAUGUACUUCCAGAAUAAGUCUCGGCUAACUACGUGCCAGCAGCCGCGGUAACACGUAGGAGGCAAACGUUAUCCGGAUUUACUGGGCGUAAAGCGCGUGUAGGUGGUACUGUAAGUAGGGCGUGAAAGCUUCUGGCUCAACUGGGAAAAGCCGUUCUAAACUACAG
rnacentral:rRNA from 1 species